rnacentral:sRNA from 1 species
UGUCAGAGAUUUCCAAAAAAAAUUUGGAAGAAAAAUGAAAUGUUCUAAAAUUUUAUAAAUUAACUUAUGAAGUUUCUUUAUAAAUGGGAAAGUAUUCACUAGUGUGUGUGUGUGUGUGUGUGUGUGUGUGUGUGUAAGAAAACAUCUUGGUCAAGCUCAUAGGCUCUCAUUCUCCUACUUCUCCUUCAAGUUGGGGGACUCCAUGCAGUGGGCCAGUUGGAUCAGGACAU